AUUCUUUAAAUCAUUUAAUUGACUGUACUAGAAUUUUAAAAUUUUUUAAAAUCCUCUCAAAUCCGGUUUAACUACAGCCCUAAAAUACAUCCUUGCAACUGCAAUCGGAAACAAAACAGAGAAAAUUUCAGAGUCCACAGAGCUACAUCCAUGGCGGCGACACCAACCGCCUGCGGUUUCUCCCCCGCCGUUCCAUCCCUCUCGCCUCCCAUAACUAACCCUAAUAAACCCAUUUGGUUUUUCAGACCUUUUUCUGCUUCCAAGAAAAUUCCUACGGUCGGCCUCUCCUGGUCCUCCACCCGCGGACGAAACCCUCUGUGAUCAAGAAUUUCCCAUACGGCAGGUGUAGCAUCAAAGCGUGGCCAUGUGGUGCUGGCUGUUUCUUGGUUGAUGAGUGGCAAUUCUGAGACGGACGCAGAAUUGGAACCGAAUAAUCUGAAUACGGAUGCCACGAUUGACAUACAACUCCCAAGAAGAAGCUUGCUUGUGAAAUUUACUUGUAACUUGUGUGGUGAAAGGACAAAUAAACUUGUCAAUCGAUUGGCUUAUGAGCGGGGGCUAAUCUACGUACAGUGUGCAGGGUGUCAAAAGCAUCACAAGUUAGCUGAUAAUCUUGGCCUUGUAGUUGAGUAUGACUUAAGGGAGGAUAUCGAUGUAGACACAAAUACGGAUGAAGUUUGAUCCGACAUUGAUUUCAUUAAGCUACUUUUUGAGUAGUAGUCUUUCGGAUAAAUUAAUUCUUGGCGGUUGUUGGAAUUCAUCUCCCUUGAUAUAUUGAACACGAAGUAAACAGAAAAGUGUGCAUAUCCUCCAUUCUGUGAGACAAACAAGCAUAAAGGUCAUCAGAAAAAUAUUAAAGCUGUCAACAUUAAUAAAAUUUGAGUUCAGUCACGCAUGUACGGUGUUCUAUGGUACUAAAUGUAAGAGCUGGUUAAAUUCUUUACCAAAUCC